UUCUUCUUGUAAUUAUUUUGAAGUAUAACCUGCCCACUGAUUUUAUUGAAGGGCCGCGGUAUUAUGACCGUGCAAAGGUAGCAUAAUCAUUAGUCUUUUAAUUGGAGGCUGGAAUGAAUGGUUGGACGAGAUAUUUACUGUUUCUAUUUGAUAAUUGAAUUUAAUUUUUGGGUGAGAAAGCUUAAAUUUUUUCACGGGACGAUAAGACCCUAUAGAGUUUUAUAUUUAUUUAUCUUUUGUAUAAUUUAGUUAUUUUAUUUAAAUAUUAAUUAUUUUGUUGGGGUGAUGAUAAGAUAAAUUAAAUUCUUAUUGAUAUUUGUAUAUUGAUUUAUAUUUUUGAUCCAUUAUUAUUGAUUAUAAGAUAAAAUUACCUUAGGGAUAACAGCGUUAUUUUUUCGGAGAGUUCAAAUCGAUGAAGAUGAUUGCGA
rnacentral:rRNA from 1 species